rnacentral:lncRNA from 1 species
ACUUCACAAGAUUGUCAUGAUGAACAUAUUCAGCAACUCACUGCUCAGGCAGUGUUUCAGGAAGCUUGUCCAGGCCAAUGGCAGUCCUGACAAAGUACAAAGUGAAGCUCUCGUCUCAAAGAAAAGACACAAAAUCCCCAGCAGCCCCAUCCCAGAGAGGAUAUGACAGCAGAGCUCCAGGGGGGACACAGCUCAUGAUAACAGUGGAUUUCUUGGUCGACAGGUAUAACAAGUUGACUGGGUCUGCAGUCAGCUCCAUCAGAGAGUGUGAAUAACAGAGCAAAAGGCAGAAAGAUUUUAUGUGUCUGGCGAACAGAGCAUCCCCAGGGAAAUCUUCAGAG